rnacentral:lncRNA from 1 species
CAAGAAUUAACAAAGAAUAUGCUUAUGUACUUACAACAUCAAAUUAAACAUAUUUUUUUACGAAUUAUUUCUCAAACUCACUACAACAGAAUUAAGUUAUAGGAGUACAUGUUUGGAACACUUUUGUAUAAGUGUCACAUUUAUGUCAAAACUUUUAAAAAAAUUUACUAAUACGUAAAUAUAAAGCCGAAUACAACCAAAAAUAAAAGAUUACUCUACUCAAUUCACCCCACCCAGCCCAUUCAGUCCAAUUACAAACAGAAAAGAAAAGAAAAAAAAAUUGAUUAAUAUCUUCCCUUCUUCCCUCACUCAAUCUACUGAAAUCCUAAACGAAGAGUCCUUCCCUAUCCUACUCCUAUGCCACCGCAACCAACGAGGUAGAGUUUUGGCGGUUGCUAAAUACUUAAAUAAGUGUUGGUAAAUUAGUAGCACUCUUUUUAGAUUAUAGCGACACUCUUUAACUGUCACUAUAUACCUAGCGACCCCACAUAUAGCAACAUUUUUUAAAAGUGUCGGUAAUUUAGCCAGCAGUAUUUUUUUUGACCUGUACUGAUAUUUAAAAGUGUUGCUAUAUACCGUUUUUGUUGUGGUAACUAUGCAGGAAAGUUAAACAUGAGAGAUUAAUAUAUGAAACACUAAUAU